UCUCUCUCUCUCUCUCUCUCUCUCUCUCUCUCUCUCUCUCUCUCUCUCUCUCUCUCUCUCUCUCUGACAGAUUUUACUAGGUUUUUUCUACUCUUGCAACCUGAAAAAGACCAUACAUUUCUUCACAUCCACUGUGUCUCUCACCAAAACCUCCCUUUCUUUAAUUGCCUGAAUUACUGUGUCCUUGGUCUGUAUUUGUAUUUUAACCACCUCUGUGAAGCUAACUUUUUUAUCCUCAUGUUCUUUCUUCCAGGUAUUUCUCAGUUCCUCCAGUUUGGUUUCACAUACCACCCCUUCCAUUUUUCCUGCACUGUCUUCCACCUUCUCUUGCAGCCCCUCUAGAGUUACUUCAUAUUCAUUACACUUAGUCUUAAUAUCUUAUUUUCUUUCUUUAGUUCCUCCAUUGCCUCUUUCAUCUCAUUGUUUAUCUUUAGAGCAGUCUCACAUUCACUAUACUUCUUUCUCAAUUCUCUGUUUUUCAUAAUAAGUUUUCCAGAAUGCCAGAGAUCAGUUCCCUCAUGCACCUCAUUUCUUUCUUGACACUGAUUAUCCUCCUCAUAUUUCCUUUCUCUUUUCUGAAUCCUGAAAAAUCCCUUUCUCCACUUGCCUCCACCCACAGAGAUUUGAAUAAAGUGCACCUUCUGUUUCACCUCACUUGGUUUGUUUACAAACACAUCACGACUGGUGGUGCCUCCUAGAUCUUCCUUUCCUUCCAUUUCUUUUAACCUCAAAAUACUCCUUUAUGUAUUAAAUUUGGAGACAGGACACUCUGUAAUCCCCUCUACCCUCUCACUAGGCCUUGUUGUUUUAAAACAGUCCAGAUCCAGUAGCUUGUAUCUUCACGAGCUCUAGCACCUGUGUCCGAACAGCUGGCCGGUGUGUGUGUGUGUGUGUGUGUGUGUGUGUGUGUGUGUGUGUGUGUGUGUGUGUGUGUGUUACAUACUAUAAAAAUGCAGGGUGCAACCCCAAGCUUCCACCUUGAUGAAAGGUGAAGCACUGCUCCCAUCAGUAGAUAUUAUCAAGCUUCCAUAAUAAUAUUUAGGAAAACUAAGCCUACUGUAGUUGUCACAAGACAUUGCUGCUAAUCUAGAACAUGAUUGAAUUAUCAGUUCAAAGGAAAUCAUUGCUCUUCUUGUUUUCCUGCACUCCAUUGUUACAUGGGCAAGCUUUAUGUUAUCACUCAUCAGCACCUGCAUAUAUUUGUAUUAUGUGUCAUGCCAGUAAAAUAACGAAAUGUGCUGCUUCAGAGACAGUGACUGAUAAAUCAAUGCCAGCAACAUUACAGGAACAAAAGGGAGUUAAAGAAAUGGAGAGAAAAUGUUUACUCACUUUUAUUUAUUUAUUUAUUUUCAUAUUUUAUGCAUAGUCUACUCUAGAAAUGCAGCAAUGUUUUUUGAACUUGAUAGUAGGUUCAGUUUUCCUAAUCAUCAUCUGGUAGCUUGAUGAAACCAGACAUACAGCUAUAUAGUGUGAUGUCCAGCUUCCUCUCUUCCUCUGCAUAAUAUCAUUCAAGGGUGGCUUCAGUGGCUGUUGCAUGGUGUGUGUGAAUAUGUGAGCAUGUGUGUGUGCAGAAUAUAUCCAUCUGAUGUGAAAUGCCAAUAAUGAUGUGGAGAAAACAGAUAUAAGCAAUGUUAUUAGGAAAAAUUAUGGCCAACAUUGCAUGUAAUAAGAUGUACUACACUAUAGGUAAUCAGAUGGAAUGGUGCCAUAAAAUAUGCUGGGGCCUUUCACUGUGCGAUGAUCCACAGGGCUGUACUCUUAAACAAUUCCUCUGCACGGAAUCACAUGAGAAAUUCUGUCGUCAUAAAAGUGAUACUGUUAAACUGCUCUGAGCUGUGAGAGAUGCUGUCCUACAGCCUGGGAUAGCAUCUCUUGGAGGGAACUGCCACCCCAUGUCUUUGCCUUUCCCUUCGCUAAUGCCGGUAGCUUGUCAAGAAGUAUCGCCUCAUUUUUAGACCAGCUUUCAAAGAUGGAGAGGGGAAACUUGUCAGAGGAAGCCCCAUCUCUGCUUCUGAGUGGAAUCUCUUAAUCGAUCUCAUCAGAGAUGAAAAAAAAAUGUUCGGGACUGGAGGACUGAUGGGAAAACUGCUCUGCAGAUGAGUAAAACAUGAGCAAGCUCUCCAGAUGAGGGAGCAGAAGAGGACUGGUGGUGGGAUCCCUCCACCUGCUGUCUCCUUGGCACAGACAUUGACUACAUAGGGAGUCCUAGCUUGUGAACACUCCAGUUUGAUGGUGUGUGAGGUGGUCUCAAUAAAGCCCAUUCCUGAGGAGAUGGAAGAGGUGGAGGUGGAGGUCCAGACAGUAGGGCCAAGUUUCAGCUAACCACCUGUCCCACAAGAACCCAACAAACAUCAAAGACUUCAUGAUAACAUGUAUGUAGAUAAAUGUAGUAAUUUUUUUGAAGGAGAAGCAGGUGAAGAAAUGAAUGAUGAAAAGAAAAGAACACUCAAUGUUAUUAAAGAACAAUACCAUAGGUGACUGCCAUGAUGUAUUGUAGACAACAGUCAGUGAAUGCCUCCAGACUGCCACAAGAACAGUUGCUAGUAGGAGCAGGCAUCACAUCUUUUCUCCCUCUGGCAAUGAUUUGCGGCAAUGUGUUCAGGCCUUUUAUGAUGUUUGGGGAAUGCCAUUCGUUGUACCCACAUUGCCAUUUCUAAACCAUCAGUGGAUAAUUCUGAAGUGUUUUGUUGUCUUAAAGCUUUUUUUCUCUAUCAUUGUGCAAGGUGUGUGCGGACCUGAGUUGCUGUUUCAUAAUGUUGUUGCUCAUUGGCCAGGGAGUGUCAGUGACAGUAGAAUUUUUUAAAACAGUCAACUUUGGAAUACAUUUUUGAUUCUAGACACCAUUUACUUGGAGAUACUGCUUAUGCACUGAAAACCAUUUGUAAUGGCUCCAGUGUCAGCACCAAGGGAUGCCCAUGAGAGAGCAUAUAACAAGAGCCAUUCUGAGCUAAAUUUAAGUAAUUGAAUGAACAUUUGGUGUACUAAAAAGAUUUGGUUAUUUUGGUAUGAAAUUUAGAACAUUUAAACACCACUAAAACCAUCACUCUUGCACGUCUGGUGAUGCAAAACAUAGGUGUUAAAAGUAGAUGGAUUUUGCUUCAUGAUGGGGGAAGAUGUCAUUUAGAAUGAUGUUCCCAACAGAAUGGAUGUACAAGUACUUGCAAAUGAACAAGGGAGACAAAAACAGGAACAAAUAAUCAGGAAUCACUUCUAAGUAUGCCUCCAUGGCCUACACUGUACAGGUGAAGUGUGCCUCACUAGGAAAUAAUUUGUAAGAGAUAAGUACCUUUAUGAUUGGAAAGAAACUGUAUUAAUUUUU